rnacentral:rRNA from 1 species
CCUACGGGUGGCAGCAGUGAGGAAUAUUGGUCAAUGGGCGCGAGCCUGAACCAGCCAAGUCGCGUGAAGGAUGACUGCCCUACGGGUUGUAAACUUCUUUUAUAAAGGAAUAAAGUGAGGCACGUGUGCCUUUUUGUAUGUACUUUAUGAAUAAGGAUCGGCUACCUCCGUGCAAGCAGCCGCGGUAAUACGGAGGAUCCGAGCGUUAUACGGAUUUCUUGGGUUUAAAGGGUGCGUAGAUGGGUUGUUAAGUUAGUUGUGAAAGUUUGGGGUUCAACCGUAAAAUUGCAAUUGAUACUGGCAGCCUUGAGUACAGUUGAGGUAGGCGGAAUUCGUGGUGUAGCGGUGAAAUGCUUAGAUAUCACGAAGAACACCGAUGGCGAAGGCAGCCUACUAAACUGCCACUGACACUGAUGCUCGAAAGUGUGGGUAUCAAACAGGAUUAGAUACCCGGGUAGUC